rnacentral:tRNA from 1 species
GCGGGCGUAAUCCAGUGGUAGAAUACCAGCUUCCCAAGCUGGGUGUCGUGGGUUCGAAUCCCAUCGCCCGCU